UACGGAGGGUGCAAGCGUUAUCCGGAUUCACUGGGUUUAAAGGGAGCGUAGGUGGGCUUGUAAGUCAGUGGUGAAAUCUCCGUGCUUAACACGGAAACUGCCAUUGAUACUAUAGGUCUUGAAUUUUCUGGAGGUUAGCGGAAUAUGUCAUGUAGCGGUGAAAUGCUUAGAUAUGACAUAGAACACCAAUUGCGAAGGCAGCUCGCUACACGAAUAUUGACUCUGAGGCACGAAAGCGUGGGGAUCAAACAGG
rnacentral:rRNA from 1 species